rnacentral:lncRNA from 1 species
UCUUCUCAUUCACAUGCUCCUCUCCGGCAGCUGCUGGAACCUCUAACUGAACCAUCUUCUCUUUUAUAUGUGUUUCCAUCUUGUUCCUCUUUUUAACUUAUUGAUCUAUCUCAUAUUAGAGAUUUCACUAUUUAGGGCUAUGUUUUUUUCCUUGAUUCUUCACCUACUUUGCCCAUUUUAAUCUGUUACCUUCCCUUUUAGGGGUAAUGGUUUGUCCACCAUUAUGUGGCUUUGAUGGAAGUGGUUGUCUAUGGUUCACAUCUCAGCCAAAGAUAUAUAUUGUUCUUCUAAUUCAUUUUUCCGCCUUCGAAUCUAUAUAACCAUCUACUUUUUAUCUUAAGCUGACCUUUGGCCUGAUCUUGGCAAUCUCUACUUGGAAUCUGGGUUGAUCUUUGUGUUCUAAAGUUAUUGAUAAUGUUGUACUCUUAACUUUUUGGUGAAAAUUUUUGUAUGCUAAUGUAGAUUAGCAAAAACGUUAUUAAUACAAUUUUAAUGACCCAAAAAAGGGAUACUCUUAUGUAAAUAUGUUUGUUUCUUAACUCUUUUCUAUUACUCUGUGCUUGUUUGCAAUGCUUCUUCAUGUGGUUUUAUCUACUUAGUUUUCCUCCUUAUCAUAGGUAAUUAUGCCUUAUUUGUGAUUCUUAUCUUCUUUUCUAUUGUGGGUAAAUACCUAAAGCAUUUGUACUCACAUAUGUUUACUUGAUUAACUGUUAGAUUAUUAAGAUAAUCUACCAUUUGAUUGCCUUCCCUAAAAUAUACAGAAUUUCUACUUCAUGACUAUUCAUUUCUGCCUCAAUGACAUCAAUAAUCUUUGAAAUUUCACAUGGUACGUUCCAAACAUAUUGAACAAUGUUUUCAAGUUCAAUGAGUUUGUUUCUAUUAUCAUUUCCUUAAAAUCUUGUGAUUUACUAUACUCAAAAGCUUCAUCAACUGUCCUUGCCUCGGCCGCUAUGUUUGUAGCAACUCAUUUACCAUCGGUCUGUGCAUAUAUCAAAUCUCUUUUAUUAUCCUUUAUAUAGAAAGUGUAUGCACUUUCCCAAAUUUCCCUUUGUUUACCCCACCAGUGAAUUUCCACUGGACUAAUUAAUGAUAAUGUUAGGAUUAUAAUAGCCUAAAAUUUUUACCAUCUCAUCCCAAUCUCUUCUUGGAAUAUCCCGAACUUUCUUUAAAUCUAAUUUAGUCUCCAAAAGAUUAAGGGAUGACUUCCUUAGUGAGUAAUGUUUAAACUAUGUAGAAUUUCCUUAAUUUUGACUUUUUAUCAUGUGGGAAAUUAAAUUAGCUUUCUAACGAUACGCAUUUCACCAAAAUCUGAUGUCGG